rnacentral:rRNA from 1 species
UACAGAGGGGGCUAGCGUUAUUCGGCAUUAUUGGGCGUAAAGGGCGCGUAGGCGGCCAUGCGUGUCUUCCGUGAAAUCCCUCGGCUUAACUGAGGACGUGCGGAAGAAACUGCAAGGCUCGAGUCCGGGAGAGGGGGGUGGAAUUCCUGGUGUAGCGGUGAAAUGCGCAGAUAUCAGGAAGAACACCUAUGGCGAAGGCAGCUCUCUGGGACGGUACUGACGCUGAGACGCGAAAGCGUGGGGAGCGAACAGG